UUCCGGUUGAUCCUGCCGGAGGACAUUGCUAUUGGGAUUCGAUUUAGCCAUGCUAGUCGAACGAGUUCACACUCGUGGCAGAUAGCUCAGUAACACGUGGCCAAGCUACCCUUCAGUCGGCAAUACCCUCGGGAAACUGAGGUUAAUGGCCGAUAUGGAACAGUCGCUGGAAUGCACUGUUUUCUAAAGACACCGCUGAAGGAUGCGGCUGCGGCCGAUUAGGUAGACGGUGGGGUAACGGCCCACCGUGCCAGUAAUCGGUACGGGUGAUGAGAGUCAGAGCCCGGAGACGGAAUCUGAGACAAGAUUCCGGGCCCUACGGGGCGCAGCAGGCGCGAAACCUUUACACUGCACGGAAGUGCGAUAGGGGAAUCCCAAGUGCGAGGGCAUAUUAGCCCUCGCUUUUCUCGACUGUAAGGUGGUCGACGAAUAAGAGCUGGGCAAGACCGGUGCCAGCCGCCGCGGUAAUACCGGCAGCUCAAGUGAUGUCCCAUAUUAUUGGGCCUAAAGCGUCCGUAGCUGGCCGACCAAGUCUACCGGGAAAUCCACCCGCCCAACGGGUGGGCGUCCGGUAGAAACUGGCCGGCUUGGAACCGGAAGGCUCAGAGAGUACGUCCG
rnacentral:rRNA from 1 species